CACGUAGUUAGCCGGAGCUUCUUCUGCAGGUACCGUCUAUGUCUUCCCUGCUGAAGGCGGUUUACAACCCGAAGGCCUUCGUCCCGCACGCGGCGUUGCUGCGUCAGGGUUUCCCCCAUUGCGCAAAAUUCCCCACUGCUGCCUCCCGUAGGAGUCUGGGCCGUAUCUCAGUCCCAAUGUGGCCGGUCGACCUCUCAGUCCGGCUACCCAUCGCGGGCACGGUGGGCCGUUACCCCGCCGUCUACCUAAUGGGCCGCGACCCCAUCCCCGCGCCGUUAAGGCUUUCCCGGGGAGGCCAUGGGGCCUCCCCGGAGCAUCCGGUAUUAGCCGCCGUUUCCAGCGGUUGUCCCGGAGCGCGGGGCAGGUUGGUCACGUGUUACUCACCCGUUCGCCACUCUAUAUCUGGCCGAAGCCAGUUUAAUCGUUCGACUUGCAUGUGUUAAGCACGCCGCCAGCGUCAUCCUGAGCCAGGAUCAAACUCU
rnacentral:rRNA from 1 species